rnacentral:lncRNA from 1 species
GAAGAGCGAAGAGUCACCUGCGGGUACGGUGGUAAAUGGGCCCUAGUGUCAAGGACGAGCAGAAAUUUAACAGGCGAGGUCCCCAAAUUGGCACUCCUAUCUCACACUCUGCACAGCCCGGGGAGCCCCGGAGGAAGCCCCCGGCACAAACCUAGUUACCGGCCCCAGAGCGCCGCGCGGGGCUCCCCGGGCAGAGCCGGCAGUCCGGGACUCGGAGGUGCGGGAGCUGCGGCCACCCCGCAGAAGAGGCUGCCUCGCUCCCCUACCGCGCUUGGGGCACGGAUGGGGGGGGGGGGGGGCCGCCGAGGCUGCCGCUCCCGAGGUCGGGCGGCUCCUGCUGCUGCUGCUGCUGCUGCCGCCGCGGGCGCUGUCGAGGAAUCUGCCCGAGCGCGCAGACCUCGCGGGGGCUCCGACCCGUGACCCGAGCCCAGGCCGAGCACGCGGCUGAGAGCUCUGUGGGACAUACUAGACAACCAACGCCGAGCCCUUACCUCGGCCUCGACCGCCGUGGCCGCCUCCACACCAGGCAGCCUCCAGCCCGCACGGGGCGGGGGAGCCGGGAGGGGCCCGGGAGGAGGGGUGUCUGCCCGAGUUUCCCCUGUUGACUUUUUAAUUUGGGAACGAGAUGCCCAAGGCAGUGACUAGCCCUGCGCUCAGCGGCGGAGGCGUCCGGAGUUCUCUGCGUAGAGAGCAAACAAAAACGUUCUGGGACUUCCCUGGUGGUGUGGGGGAUAAGGAUCUGCCUGCCAAUGCAGGGGACAUGGAUUCGAUCCCUGGUCUGGGAAGAUUCCAUUGGCAACUAAGCUCACGAGCUGCAACCACUGAGCUGCCUGCUGCAACUACCAAAGCCCGCUCACCUCGAGCCUCUGCUCCGCAACAAGAGAAGCCGCUGCAAUGAGAAGCCCAUGCUCCACAACUAGAGGAAGCCCACACAAAGCAAUGAAGACCCAGAACAGCUGAAAAGAAAAAAAAAAAAAAUUGUUCUGGAGGGAGACACAGAUUGGCGUGUGGGAGUGGUUAUUGACAACCUAAA